GACGAACGCUGGCGGCGUGCUUAACACAUGCAAGUCGAACGGAAAGGCCCUGCUUGCAGGGUACUCGAGUGGCGAACGGGUGAGUAACACGUGGGUGAUCUGCCCUGCACUUCGGGAUAAGCCUGGGAAACUGGGUCUAAUACCGGAUAGGAGCCAUUUUUAGUGUGAUGGUUGGAAAGUUUUUUCGGUGUAGGAUGAGCUCGCGGCCUAUCAGCUUGUUGGUGGGGUAAUGGCCUACCAAGGCGGCGACGGGUAGCCGGCCUGAGAGGGUGGACGGCCACAUUGGGACUGAGAUACGGCCCAGACUCCUACGGGAGGCAGCAGUGGGGAAUAUUGCACAAUGGGCGCAAGCCUGAUGAAGCGACGCCGCGUGGGGGAUGACGGCCUUAGGGUUGUAAACUCCUUUCGCUAGGGACGAAGCUUUUUGUGACGGUACCUAGAUAAGAAGCACCGGCUAACUACGUG
rnacentral:rRNA from 1 species